rnacentral:rRNA from 1 species
GCCAGCAGUUAUAUCAACCUGCUGAAGCUAAGCAGGUGUGAGCCUGGUCAGUACCAGGAUGGGAGACCUCCUGGGAAAAAUUAAGGUUGAUGCUGAAA